rnacentral:rRNA from 1 species
UACGGGGGGGGCAAGCGUUGUUCGGAAUUACUGGGCGUAAAGGGCUCGUAGGCGGCCAACUAAGUCAGACGUGAAAUCCCUCGGCUUAACUGGGGAACUGCGUCUGAUACUGGAUGGCUUGGAUUUGGGAGAGGGAUGCGGAAUUCCAGGUGUAGCGGUGAAAUGCGUAGAUAUCUGGAGGAACACCGGUGGCGAAGGCGGCAUCCUGGACCAACAUUGACGCUGAGGAGCGAAAGCCAGGGGAGCAAACGGG